AGUGAACGCUGGCGGUAGGCCUAACACAUGCAAGUCGAACGGCAGCACAGUAAGAGCUUGCUCUUACGGGUGGCGAGUGGCAGACGGGUGAGGAAUACAUCGGAAUCUACUUUUUCGUGGGGGAUAACGUAGGGAAACUUACGCUAAUACCGCAUACGACCUACGGGUGAAGGCAGGGGAUCUUCGGACCUUGCGCGAUUGAAUGAGCCGAUGUCGGAUUAGCUAGUUGGCGGGGUAAAGGCCCACCAAGGCGACGAUCCGUAGCUGGUCUGAGAGGAUGAUCAGCCACACUGGAGCUGAGACACGGUCCAGACUCCUACGGGAGGCAGCAGUGGGGAAUAUUGGACAAUGGGCGCAAGCCUGAUCCAGCCAUACCGGGGGGGUGAAGAAGGCCUUCGGGUUGUAAAGCCCUUUUGUUGGGAAAGAAAAGCAGCAGGUUAAUCCCCCGCUGUUUUGACGGUACCCAAAAAAAAAGCACCGGCUAACUUCGU
rnacentral:rRNA from 1 species